CUGGCGGACAGCCUCAACAUGGGAGUUAUGGAUUGGUUUGAUCCAAUUGCUGAUUCGACUACUAGCCAUCUCGAUCUGAUUCCCCACAUGGUUUAGGGGAGAAGUUUAAAACAACAGGACUAUGGAAGGAUAUACGGUGCUACAUUGACAGUCAACUCUACGGUUUGUAGGUUGAAGUUUGCUUAACACGCUUCAACCGUCGAACUUGGUGCGGCUCAAUUGAAUAAGGAAAGCAGGGAGGUCAUGGACCUUAAAGACUUGUAUC